CACCCCUCAAGCUUAGGUUUGAUGUUGGGCACUGCUGUAAGGGCAUGCCUAAAAAUUAGCGAUGGUAACCGAUAACCACAAGCGCACAGAUGUCGCAAUGAUGGAAGUUGGGCACCAGUCUUAACUAAAUUUCUAAA
rnacentral:misc_RNA from 1 species